rnacentral:rRNA from 1 species
AUACGUAGGGGGCGAGCGUUGUCCGGAAUGAUUGGGCGUAAAGGGCGCGUAGGCGGCCCGGUAAGUCUGGAGUGAAAGUCCUGUUUUUAAGAUGGGAAUUGCUUUGGAUACUGUCGGGCUUGAGUGCAGGAGAGGUAAGUGGAAUUCCCAGUGUAGCGGUGAAAUGCGUAGAGAUUGGGAGGAACACCAGUGGCAAAGGCGACUUACUGGACUGUAACUGACGCUGAGGCGCGAAAGUGUGGGGAGCAAACAGGAUUAGAUACCCUGGUAGUCCACACUGUAAACGAUGAAUGCUAGGUGUAGGGGGUAUCGACCCCUUCUGUGCCGCAGUCAACACAAUAAGCAUUCCGCCUGGGGAGUACGGCCGCAAGGUUGAAACUCAAAGGAAUUGACGGGG